rnacentral:lncRNA from 1 species
UAUAAUAAAUUAUUAUAUAUGAAAAUCUAAACUCUUUGAGUUAUUUUUAGAAAAAACUUUGAAUAUCACUUUGUGGUUUCAUACUUUCUUACAUUAGUAUCCUAUAGUUUAAAGUGUAUUAAUUUAGUACUCUGUGGUUUCAAUUUUAUCUUUUUAUUAUCAAUUUUACUAAUUUUUUUUGCUAAAUCAGUGACAAAGUUAAAAUCAAAGGAUAUUAAAAUGAAUAUUCGAUAAAUCUAGAUAAGGUAUCUGAAGCUUUUUGUAUAUAAUUUAACGAAAUAUUAAUAGAAAAGCUGAAGAAACGAUAAAAAUGAAAUCACAUAACACUAACUUGAUACAUUUUAAACCACAUGGUACUAAAAUGAGAAAGUGCGAAAUCAAGGGGUGGUAUUUGAAGUUUAUCAAUGGGUUAAGAUUAUUUUCGAAUAAUAAUAUGAGAAUUAAUUAUUUAAUAGAUUAAAUUUUAUGGAGGGUAAGUUUAUCAUUAUACUUAGAAAAUAACGAAAUUCACUUACAUUAAAAUAAAUAAUAGAACUUGAAAAAUUAAUUUUACCGGCAUCAAAUUACACCAAAACAAACAGAAGAAGAUAUUGAAUUCAACUUUCAAACUAAUACGAGUUAUAUCAAAACAAACAACAAAAAAAUAAUCACAUUUCAAAAAAAUUCAUAUAUCAGUGCACUUAAGUUACGUUGGAUCUAGAAAUUCGUCAAAUCCAAAUGCCCAAUAUGUGAGUGAAGUAAGCUGCAGGAAGUGCAACAAACAUGAAGUUUAUUUAAACUUUGUUGAACAUUGUUGACUUAUACAUGGAGUUGGGAUUUUAUUGUCUUACCUGAGCUGUGAUUUUUGAAAGAGGGUUUAGCAAAAGGCAUUCCUUCAAAAUUUUAAGAAUAUAACCAUUUAGAGAAGUCAUUGUUAUUGUGAUCUUGUAAUGAUUUUAGAGCAUGUUUAGUUCAAAAUGAGGAACAGAAUUGAAAUCAAAAUGAAUCGAAUUGGAAUGAGAAAUGGAAUGGUAAAAUCUUCCAAGUAAUUGGAACUGGAGUAGCUAGUUUUUGUUGCUAUUGUUUUGUUAAGAAAGUAGUUAUAAUUUGAACAAAUUUAGAUUCACAAAUUGAAAUGUGAUUUCAAAUUCGUGUUUAGAAUUUGAAUUCAGAAUUUAGAUAUUGAAAGAAAAAAAUAAAAGGGCCUUUUUUCAAUCGCCCUGGAACAAAGUUGACUCCCGCUUACUUAGAGAGAGUUAUUAUGGGGGUUCAAUUCUUCUAAAAUGAUUUUGAAAAUAUUUUUAGAUUUUACGCUUUCAAAAAUAAAAGAUAUCCACCACCUCCAUGUUAAUAAGAUAAAAGAAUAAUUUGUAAUAAAUUCUCAUUACAGAUUAUGGGAACCAAACAAUCCCAAACAGAGUGCUCGUUAAUAAUGCAAUUUAGACUACAAAAAUGUUAAGUCUCUAAAUCAAGCUAGAAAAAUAAAAGAUAAAUUUCAAAUACUAUCCCCGUGGUUUCGCACUUUUUUACUUUAGUAUCAUAUAGUUUAAAGUGUAUCACUUUAGUUCCUUUUGGUUUCAUUUUUCUCUUUCUAUUAGCAUUUUCGUUGACUCUCCGUUAAAUCAUAUACAAAAGAUUUCAGAUAUUCCACCUAUGAUUUAUUAAAUAUUUACUUUAGUAUCCUAUGGUCUUUCAAAUUUUUUACUUUAGUAAUUUGUGGUUUUAACUUUAUCACUGGUGUAAUAAAAAAAUUAACAAAGAGAAUAACAGAAAGAAAAAAGCGAAACCAUGAGAUACUAAAGUAAUAUAUUUUAAACUAUAAGGUAUUAAAGUGAGAAAGCACGAAAAUAUAGGGGCGGUAUUUGAAGUAUUUUCAAAAAUAAAUAUAAUAUUUUAAACUAUAAGGUAUUAAAGUACGAAAGUGCGAAACGUUAGGGUGGUAUUUGAUUUUUUUUCAAAAAUAAAUAUAAAAAGUUUAUUGGUGCAUGUUUCAAAAUUUCAAACUAGCUCUUAGUGGAUUUUGGAUCUAACCACCCUAAACCCAUAAUCGUACCCGCUUUGCAACCCACAUACUCUCUCUCUCUCUCUCUCUCUCUCUCUCUCUCGUGCUCAUAAUUCAUAUCCCUCGGCCCCAAGAAAACCCUAAAAACCCCUGGGCGAAGACUCUCCUCUCCCUCGAGAGUAACCCUAACCCUUGAAUCCUCGAUCAGGUUCGUAACGCACUAUUAGAUUUUUCUCUAACAUUUUAGUGGGUUGUUAUAUUUCUAGAUCUUUGAUUAUGGCAUUAUAUUUCCGAAGAUGUCACUUUUAUCAGUUUUGUCCGGAAAAAAUCCUUUUUUUUUGGAGGCAGUAACAAAGAAUCUAGGUUUUCUUGUUGUGAACUUACAAUUAUUUAAAAAAAGAAUCAUAUGGAUUGAUAUCCGUAUAUUUCUAUUUUUUUUUUCUUUCUAAAGAUGACAUUUUUAUCAGUUUUUUGGGCAAUAAUCCACUAGGUUUUGUUGUUGUGAAUUUACUAUUUUGUUUUUUAUAAAGAUUCAUAUGGAUUGAUAUCAGGGUGAUCUAACCUAGUUUUGAGGUUUCUGGGGAUUAUUAUGGAUUUUUUUUAAUAGGACUAUAAUCUUCCUAUUGCUCGUCCCUGGAUUGAUUUCUUGGAUUUUGUAAUAUUGGUGGAUCACUAAGCCUUUUUGUGUUUCUUUGAGGGAAAAUAAUAAUAAUAAUAAUUAUAGUGCUUUUAUAGAAUUGUGGCUUGUUGCAUUGAAGGAAAAUGGCAAAGAAGCUGAACCCGCUCGUGUUUCUCGACAUAUCAAUCGAUGGAGGCCGCGCCGAGAGAAUCACAUUUGAGGUGUUAUUUUGAAUAAUUUUACUGUGAUAUAGUAUUUUUGUCCCUUCACCUUAUUUUUAGCUUUGAUUGUCUCUACCAAGAGUCUUAACUAGUUCUCGGUGAUAACUUACAAUGUUUCGUGUGUAGCUUUUCUCAGAUAUUGUCCCAAAAACUGCAGAGAAUUUUCGAGCGCUUUGUACAGGUACUGUUUAUCUACUCCUGGAGAUACGGAGUUUUGGAUUUGGGUCUUUAUCAUCUUAUUUAUGUGCUUGUAUUUACCAAUGGAUUAUGCUAGCAAGGGUUAACACACCUUUAAGUAUGCUGUGAACAUUCGACAAACAGUUUCAUUUGGACUUAGAAAUUUGGAUGAAGAGUAUAUUGUGUAACUGAUGAGAUCUUGGUUGUCACUAAGGACCAGCAGGGCUAUUUGAAUAUUGAGGCUUGCUCUUUAACUUGUAGAAAGUAAUUACUCAUGUGAAGCUCGAUAAAGUUAUAAUAACAAAGGCAUCAUACUUGUAUUUGUGGUAGAAUUGUUUGUUUGCUUAUCCAGUGGUUUUCUUAUUGAACAAUGCUUAACUUGAUUAGCACGCCCAUUGCUUGUUUUUUUUUUCCUGCAGUUGAGUUAGACUAUUAAUUCCUUUUUGUAUAGUUUUCUAUUUUCUCGUAUUUUUUAUAUACAUUUUGAAUUACUAUAUCAUAUUAAUGGUUUUCGACUAUCCAUGUAGGAGAGAAAGGAAUUGGAGCAUCUACACAGAAACCACUACAUUUCAAGGGAUCAAAUUUUCAUCGCAUCAUACAAGGAUUUGUUGCCCAGGUUUGUCACUGUUCGAGUUAGCUUUGAGAUACAACAUUCCUUUUUAAUUCUAGUUGUGAAUAAUUCACUGAUUUUUUUUUUGUCCGUUAAAAUGAUUAAGGUUUUAACUUGUGUAGUAAUGUGUACUACAACACAGCAAUAUUCAUCAUCAGUUAAUCGCUAAAGACUUUAUCUCCGAAACUUAAUUAGUCGUACUCUAUUCCUUAACUUCUAGUUUAGAAGGAUUAUUGACGAAUGCUUUCUCUCUUCAGGGUGGUGAUUUUUCAAAAGGAGAUGGUAUUGCUUCAAUAAUGUCCAGGCUUCUUCUUUCACUUGACUUCUUGCUGUCUAUACUUUAAAAAGCUCAACAUUAUCUGCUAUUUCCAGGAAGUGGUGGAGAGAGUAUAUAUGGUGGAAAAUUUCCAGGUCGACUGUUUCUCUAUAAUUAUCAAAAUUAUCUCCUUGAAAGAUUUGAUUAUUACAUUGAAAUCAAUUUGUAGCAAUUUCUUUUGAAGUUUUGUUAUGUUUUGGUUUGUAGUUGAUAUAUGCAUAUAUUUCUCUUAUACUGUAGAUGAGAACUUCAAGCUGAAACAUGAUGGACCCGGUGUUCUGUCCAUGGCAAAUUCUGGACCAAACACUAAUGGAUCGCAAUUCUUCAUCACCUUCAGGGGAACACCACAUCUUGAUGGGUAGCACUUUCAUUUUUCAACCUUCUUUUCCUUUUGAUGCUUUGUUUCUUAAAACUUAACACUUCAACAUUCCCUUGCUCAUCACUUUCUAAGCAAGCUAAUCAAUUUGAUUUUUUGGUUGUUGUUAUGCUAAAAACUUUUAUCGAAUAAUGCUUGUUCUCUACUGUUUAAUCUUAUCGGACUGUCUGAUAGCUUAAAUAAAUACAUCUAAAUCUAGUGUAAAAUUUCUGUUUCUUGGAGAAGCUUUUUAUUUUUGGGCUCCCACCUGUCUCCGUUUUCUCUUUCGCUACUAAUUACUUACAUAAGUUGAUUUAUUGUUGAAGUUGUAAUUUACUUUUGCAGUAAACAUGUUGUUUUUGGGAAGGUGGUGAGUGGAAUGGCCUUGCUAACGAAGCUAGAAGCCCAAGGUUCAGACACUGGGAAACCUCUUUGUCUUGUAAAGAUCGUAGAUUGUGGCGAAGUUUCUGGUAGUAAGACUCAAAUUUCACGUGGAACAGAGAAAGGUAAAUCUUGUUCUAGAAAGGGUAAACAGGUGUAGAUGUUACAUCAGCUCAUUUUGUAAUUGAUAUCUAAACUUCGAAGAUUUUGAUAUUACUACUGAACUUUUCAUUACUUAUUAUUUGAAAAGAUCCUGUUCAACUUCAGUUACAGAUUAGUAGUUUUAGUUUAAGAAGUUGAAAAUAUUUUGUCAAGUGAUUCAGAUUUUUUUCAACUUCGGUUAGAGAUUAGUAGAUUUAGUUUAAGAAGUUAAAAAUAUUUUGUCAAGUGAGUCAGAAUUUGUUUUCUUCCUUGGAUUAAAGAAUAUUAUAUAGUUCUCCGGAGAGGAAGUUAAACCCCGAAAAGCUGUAACAUUAGGUAUAAAAAUCAAAAUUUUUUAAAGUUUAGGUGCCAAGUUCAGAAUGCUCUAUAGUUCAGGUAAAUUCAAUACAUUUUUAUCUCCUAGAAGUGUGUUUGAACAUUCAGUAUUUUCAUUCCAAUUUUUAACACACUAUUUUCCAGCAGAAAAGAAGCUAAAUAGAUCGAAGGGUAAUUCUGAUGAUGAUGAGAGAGUAAGAGGAAAAAGAGAUGUAACCGAUAAGAAGAAGAAAAAGAGAAGAUACAAAUCUUCUGAUUCACAUAGCUCUUAUAGUUCUGAUUCAGAGUCCUAUUCCUCUGAGAGUAAUUCGGAUUCAGACUCGGAUUCAGACUCAUCAUCAGAGACUAGCUCCUCCAGUGAUCGUAGACAUAAGAGGAGAAAGAAAACAUCCAAAAAGGACAAGAAAAGAAAAAGGGGCCGCCGAAGAGAUAAGAGACCGAGUAGACAUAAUAGAAGAUCAAAGAGGAAGUCAAAAUGGUGUGUUGUUGAUUCUAGCGGACUGCAUAAAAGAAAAGUAUUGUACUUUGGUUUGUAUUUAAUAGUAUGUUUGUGUGAUGUGUUGCUUUCGCAUAAUGCACAGGAGCUCGGAGAGUUCUAGUGAUUCUGAGAGCGGAAGUACCAGAAGCAGUAGCCCCGACAGUGGAGAAGCUGACCGUCCAACCAGUAAGAAAUCUACAUCUUUAUAAUGUUAUAUUUAUGGUCGAUUGAUUCUUAUUAUAUUUUGAAUCAAUGUUAGUAUAUUGUUGCUACCUUGUUGUGACUUCCUUGCUUUUGUGAGAUUUUUUAUUUUUUUUUUCAUCACUACUACGUAAUUCUCUUGCAUAAAAAUUCUUCAGGGUAUUGAUUGGAAUAUUGUUAAGAGUUUUUAAGUUGUGGCACUAACUUUUCUAAUUGUUAUAUAGUUAUGUCUUUAGCAUACUAUGUUUUUUAAGUGUCGGACCAAUUUCAAGUAUACGAGUAAUUUUAAUUCUCAAUUCCAUGUAUAUGUGUAGAAGGUCGAGAUAAAUCCACUUCACCGGUCUUGGAAAAAGUUGCAGCAAUGGAAGAGCCAAAGAAAGAUGAAAAAAGGACUACUGAGGCUACUGAAUUAAAUGAGGGAAAAUUCCUGCAAAAAGUUGGCCAUGCUCGAGAGAAUAAUAAUGGCUUGGAAGCGAGAUCUGACGAAGCUGCAAAUCAACGUUCUGAUUCUGAAGAUAAAUCGAGCAAAUUCAGGUUUCAUUUCUUAAUUAGCACUUUACUACGGUAUCCUUUGUACUUCUCUGAUGCUCUCACCACUUUUCAAUAGUCGAUUACCAAAGGGAUUAAUUUGAAUAACUGCAGGGAGGGCCCAAGUGGUAGUUCAAGGAGAAGCCCGGUUAGAGCUGCUGCAAAUGAAAACAAGAUCCGAAGAAUGGACGGCCAUUCAAGGAGUCCAUCUAGGAUUCCCUUGAAUAAGGCUUCUGAGCCUGCAUUAAAUCGUGAACGAGAUUUACGAAAAAGCCCUUCGCCCGAUGGUCAUCCAAAGAGAGUAAGAAAGGGACGUGGAUUCACGCAGCAGUACGCUUUUGUGCGUAAAUAUCGGACACCGUCGCCGGAACGCUUGCCCUUUCGCUCCCGUAAUUAUACAGGAAGAUAUGAAAGAGAAGGUUAUCGGAAUAGGUAAUUUUUACUCUUUCUCGUUCGUUAGAUUGAUGUUCCAUUAAUGCUGAGCUUAGUUUUCCUUGCCUACAGUUAUGGGAGGUAUCGAAAUUACUCUGAGCGGUCACCGGCAAGGAGAUAUUAUGGUGCUUCAAGGGUUAGCAGGGGUGGUAGUCCAACGAGGUCUCUCUCUCUCUCUCUCUCUCAAAUUUUAUUGGCUUUGUUUGAUGUAUGAUAUAUUCAUAACCUGCCAUUACUCGCAUUAUUUCAUUUUUUUUUAAUUUCUAAUUGAAGAUUUUUGACUUCUUUCUAUUUGUAUACGAAAAGGAAAAAGGAAAAAUAAUAACCGAAAGCCCCCGUUGGGUAUUGGUAUUUAUAUUUUAUGUGACUACUGAACAAUGCCGAAUUUAUGUGGAGUUUGUUUUUGUUUGUAAGCUUUGCUAAUCUGUUUUAUUAAUGGCAAUCAUAUAUUUGACCAAACUGAUAUUUUAGAUACCGAAGGGGACGAAGCAGGAGCAUUUCAACCAGCCCCAUGGGCCGCCGCGGCCGAGGGAGGGACCGCAGCCCGAGCCCGAGACGUAGCCGAAGCCCGAGAGAUUAUCGUAGGCCCGCUAUUAGCGAAAGACUCCAAUCUCGUCUCGACACACAAGACAUCAAGCGCCCUUCAAAAGAAAGGUCGCGAUCUAGGUCAAAGAGUCGGGGUUCUUCAGCAUCCCGAUCUCCCAUUCGGGGUUCGGUCAAAAGGGAGAAUACGAGAAAUCGGAGAUCUCGGAGCAGUUCCAGGUCGAGUAGUCCUGCUGGAAACGCUGGUUUGGUUUCGUAUGGAGAUGGGAGCCCUAAUGGUUAGCUAUGUUUUGAGUUUGACUACCGCGAAGGUUUUGAUUAUCUCUCUCUAUAUAUUGUCUUGUACUUGUGUACUGACUCAGUAAGGUAAACCUAUUUUCGGUUCGGAAUUUUGCUUUGUUUUAUGUUUAUGUUUAAUGGGUUGUCCUUUUUCCCUUAGUAUUGUCUUGGAAUGAUGUUGAAGAAUGAAAAAUGACAUACACAAUGAUACAGCAGAUAUUGUUGUCAUGAAUUAUGCUCAUUUCUCAGUGGUAUCAAUUUGCUUGCAACAACAUUAUGCUUUUUGAGACUUUGUUCAAUUCAAUGUUGGAACUCAAAAUUAUUGUGUUUGUGGUCUUAAAAGGUAUUCAAAAUUAUUGUGUAUGUGAGUCUAAAUUACUUCAUAUUGUUGUUACCUUCUCUAAAACUUUAGUGAGCUUGAUGUGUAAUAAUAAAACUCUGAUCUGGAAAACCUGUUUUUACUCAUCUAUUCCUAAAAGAGGCAAUCAUCAUCAGGUAAAUUCACAUAAACCACCUCUGAUAUUGAGUGACACUGCAAACUAACUGAACUAUUUUUGGUAUAAAGAAGCUACAUUCAUGCUUGUAGUUCGUUUACCGCCGAUGUAGUGUAGCAGCGGAACUGUGUAUUGCUCUCAUUCUAUACAUCUGCAGCUAUGUUCAGCAAUGAAACAAAAGAUUUGCAGUAGCUCUUCUUUGGUUGUUUGGUUUUAUGAAGUGUUCCUGGAGACAAAAAAAGUUUGUGCUUACAUGAACAAACAAACAGCAACAGCACCAAACAAGGAAUGCAGUUUUGAAUUUCUUCAAGCAAAUACAUCUUCGCCGCCACCGAAAUGACCAACAAGUUCUGUUUCAGGAUAGUAAAAGCACAAGGGGGAAAAUACAAGGAAAUCUAAAUCCAAGCAACACAGCGAAACAAGACUAAUUACGAUAUUAUUACAAAAGAGCCUGAUUAUUACAAAAGAUCCUAAAACACGAGUACAUUCGUAGUUUGAUCAUCAUCAACAUUUCCUGAUCUUCCCUGCAUUCGUCUCCUCCUCUCAGAUGGGCAUGCCUUUCGGCGUAAUCUGGUCUUUUAUCCACAUGUAAAUCGGCACUAGCACGAAGUACGUCGCUGCGAUGCUGCCCAAGACGAAGCGCAGCAGGAAGGAGAACGGAUUCACGGGCCUCUCAACGUCCUCAGCCUUCGGACCAAGCUACAAAAAGAUUAAACCGAACAGUUUAGGUGAUUUCCAACAAAUUUAACAACACAAGAAAAUGAAAAGGAAAAUCAGUAACAGAUGUAGAAUUUUUCGUUGGUUUACUGGUGUUUAGUGCCGACAUCAUCAUUUGCUAUUGAGGGUCUGCAAAGACUAGGAACAUUGAGAAACAUUAACUGCAUUUCCUUGCACUUGAAUUCAGGUUAGGAAGAACUAAUCCAUGAGUCAUGGCAAAUAAUCAAUAAAGGACGAACUUUGGCGGCGAUUUUACUCGGUUAUGACCGAAAGUCAAUUUUGUCACUUUUGUGGAAUUGAGCAGCGAAACAGUGAACGAAAGUCUAAUCUCACUGUUCAUCCCCACUCCGUCAAACCAAACCAGGAAACUCGUGACUUACGACGAAUGGUCCAAACUUACGAAACAAACGUGCCCUUAUAACCAAUAAAACUAUGGCUUCUAGAGUUCCCCGCUCAACUUGCAGAUUAUUACACUAACGAGGCAUUCGUUUCAUUGAUUUGUAAACUAUCCUUGGAUGAAAUGCAUGCCAUUUGUUUCAUCGAUUCGUAACAUCCGUAAUAAGCCUUAAUUCCAGACACAUAGGCAUCUCAUAUUACCAUGGGAGGGGGGAUUUUCUCAUUCCAAUACCUGAUGGAAAUUAGUUCUUCACGGAAAUACACCAUUCCUCAAUAGCAAGAACUCGACUUAAAAGAGUAAACGAUAAAAUACUUUGCAUUUGGUAAUGUUACAAACUCAAAAAAGUUAAUCCAAACACCUCCUACAAAGUUUGAGCAAUGUGAAUAUGUGAUGAACUUUUCUUUUUGGGAAAACUUCAAAAACCCCCCCUGUGGUUUCGUGCAUUCUCACUUUGCUACCCUGUGGUUUAAAACGUAUCAAUUUGCCCCCUUGUGGUUUCGUUUUUAUCUUUUUGUUAUCAAUUUUAUUAUUAUUAUUUUUUAAAAUCAGUGACAAAGUUAAAAUUAAAGGAUACUAAAGUGACUAUUCGAUAAAUAUAGAUGGUUAUCUGAAGUUUCUUGUAUAUAAUUUAACGAAAUAUUAACGAAAAAGCUUCCGAAAAGAUAAAAAUGAAACCACAGGGGGGUAAAUUGAUACGUUUUAAACCACAGGGUAGCAAAGUGAGAAUGCACGAAACCACAGGGGGGGUUUUUGAAGUUUUCCCUUUCUUUUUUAAUACCCUUGGUACGACAAACAGGAAAACCUACAAACUAGAAUAAGUUUGACACCACUAAAAGAAUAAACCUACACUAUCCUUGCAUGAAGUAUACACAAAGUCAAACAUCAAACCAGAAACCACAAUAUACUCAUCAAAAUGAUACACAGCGUAAGCAAAGAAAGGCAUUUAUUUUACUCAUACCUGGCUCAUGAGCCACUCGAGAAACCGUAGACCACCAAAUCAAAUCAUGUUUACUCGUAUUUCAAAAAUAACCAACAUGGCUUCAAAAGUAGCCGAGCCUUGAUUUGAGGCUUUAGCUUGUCUCAUUCCUAAGCCAAGUGAAUUUCAACUCGACGUUCAGCUGAGCCAAGCCAAACCAUUUAUUUAUUGAUAUGCUAACUUUUUACUCAACUCUUAACUAGCAUAACACUGGAAAUUCUUGAAAAUAACAACACACAUAAGUAGAUACCUAACAGACCAACAGGUGGCCGCAAUUUGUCGAUAGUGAAUAUAUCUAUAAGACGGUAGGCGCUAGAGAUAAAAAGCGAUCCAAGAAUUUUAUCAAGUCUAUAAGAACUACAAAAAGUGGAAUAUGAUUUCAGAUCCAGCUAAACAAAAUUCAGUUGUUCUAUGUCCAAUUGUUUUUCACUAUGUCUGUUUUUUGCAAACAGAAAUACGCGUACCCCUCUUAGAUCACGUCAGAUCGAAAGAGUCCUGGAAAUCGAGUUGUUUAAGUUGAUUAACUUCUUUGCUAAUCCUUAGAAAAGAAAACAUUUAGCCAAAAAUAAACGGGAAUACCUGCAAAGGAGAAUCUCCGGGUUGCCUUUUCACGCCGGUCACAGAGCAACCCAUGAUAAGCCCGUGCCGACGAACACCGCGGUACCAUUUCGGGCCAAUCCUUUUCAAUUGAACAUCCUUGAACCCGGCGUUCUUGAACCACUCGAUGUACUCUUCCUCCUUAGGAAAGAGCAUCCACAUGUCGGCGAAAAAGCGCGAGAGCCAGAACGUCGGGUAGACGGGCCCAAUCACGCAGGCAACUCCGCCUUGCCUCAGAACCCUGUAUGCUUCCCUUAUACCGCGUUGCGGCUCGGGCCAAUACUCGAUACUGGAGAGAGAAAGAACAGCAACAAUAUUAGAACAAAGAGAAGAGAAGAAGAAUUUUAGGUGAAGUACCAACAUAUUCGAAUCUAAUGGGUCAAGGCAUUACUUUUGAGGCCUAAAAAUAUCAAAAUCGGCACAAAAAACAUAAAAUAUUCAUCAUUUCUUUUGACCUUUCGCAAACUAAGGAAACAUGAAUAGAGAAAACUGACAACAUGGUGUGUAGACAUUCUAAAUUACAAAUAAACUCUACUGCGUCGAGCUUCUGAAUGAAUUUAAAGAACACAAAUUUGAUGAACAAUGCAAUAUCUUUUACUUCCAAAAUCCAAGGCCUAGAUCUCAAAUCUUUUCACUUCUAAAAGUAUCCAUCUUAUGAAAUCCCAUAGUUUGUUAAUUCGCGAAUUAUUGGAAAUCUGAAUAAAACGGUCUGAAUAAAACGGUCCGUAUGCAAUUUAUUCUCCAAAAAUUCGGAAUAAUAUGCGAAUUUUUGGGUUAGAUUUAUUAUUCGCGAAUAAUUCACGUAUGUCGAACUAUUCAGCCAAAAAAACGCGCAAUUUUUUUGGAUAAAAUUCCUUUCCAAAUUAUUGCCGAAUUAUUCGCGAAUUAUUGAAAAAUUUUAUGAACUUCUGAAAUAUGUGGAUCAUAAAAAAGAUGAAGAUGGAGACGACAAUAAAGUUUGCUAUUACUUUUUUUACUUAAUCUACUUUAUUUUGUAGCUCUCUUUUUUAUAUCCUUAAGAAUUUAUAACUAUGUAUGCGAGUAGCAUAAAUCUAGAAAAAAAAGCUUAGUUUAAUAGCCGAAUUUUUGAUCCCGAAUUAUUAAUUGGUUAACGUAUAAUUUCUGUAUAAAUCGCAUAUCCGAAUAAUUGGCGAAUCCCUUUUUUAAGCCGUAUUUUUUCAACGAAUUUAAAACUUAAGAUAUGAAUUUUAUUCGAAUUACAUCCGUACCGAAUUUUUGCCGAAUUCGAAUUACCUAACUAUGUUAUGAAUAUCAGCUGCUGAAACUGGAUAUACAAAAUCCUAUCAUAAACUUUUGCGAACUCGAAAUAUACGAUAUCUCGAUCAAACGGUCCGAGCAAUACCUUCCGGCGGAAAUGUACCGAUCGAAGGAAUCGGUCGGGAACGGGAGAUCCUCGGCGUCCCCCUCCAUUAUAGUGCACUCCUUGAGCGGCUCCUUUUGCCGCGCCUUGGCGAGCUGAUGCGGGGAUUGGUCGAUGAUGGUGACGUUCUUCGGAUCGACGUGCUUAACGAUCCCCAGAGUGGUGAACCCGGUCCCACCACCCACAUCCACAACCUUCAACCUAGGACUAUACAGAUCAGCAGGUUUCAGAGCCUCAUCCCUCAUAUCCUCAGUCCAGUGCCCAGGGUUUAUGACAUGGUCAUAAACAAUGGAGAGGAAUCUGUAGAACCAAAACGCCUCCUUUUUGUGUUGUAUGAACCUGGGUUGAGAUGCAGGCCUGGAAGAGGAGAGGCUACAUUUGGGUGCCACAAAUUUAGCAUCUUUUCUCAGAUUGAAGGGGGUUAAGCCCAUCUUGGAGAGGGGUUUCCCAUGGAGAGUGGAGUUCAUGGAGCCCAAACCAUGGGGGCUCCUCAUCCCGGUGAGCUUGAGCCCCUCAGCGCCAUUGAGCAUGGAAGAAGCCAUGGGAGGAGCAAAAGAGAGGUGCCCCACUUCUCCAAGAAGCGAUUUUUACACUAAAGGAGCAGUUUUUCUGCGCAUAACCAGAUCAAAACCCCAAAACCAAGCUGAAAAAAGAAGCGCUUUUUAUUAGAGUUCUAUGAAUCAAAUGCACAAGAAGGAGAGACAAAACCCCCUUUUUUUUUUCUUUUUGCUUGAAACUCUUUCUCUCCUCUUCCUCGGUGGAAAAAGGAGAGAUUUUUUUAGAGAGAAAAAGGAAAAGAGGGGGAAAAAGUGCUUUUUUGAGGAGGAAGUGCUUACCAAUUUGGGAUUUUGACGAGAGAAGCAGAAGCAGAAGCAGAAGCAGAAGCAGAAGCUCUCUUUCUCCACAGAAAUUUUCGCUGUUUCAGAUUAGGAGUGAGCUGUCGGAGUAAGAUGUAGUAGUGCAGUUGUUGGAGGGUAAAAAUGUAUGCAGAUCCCUAACCUAUAGCAAAUUCUGAAAAGGAGACCUCAACUUUUGUUUUUGGGUUUUUUUGCAUUUGGCCCCCUCAUAUUUUUCUUUUUACAAAUAGGCCCAUCAAAUUUAUAAUUGUAAAUUUGGCUCUAUCCCCGCGCCAUUUAAGGUGGAGCGGUGUUAAGUUGAACACGAUUAAUCAUUCACCAUGUUCAAACACGGUGAAUGGUUCAUCGUGUUCUAUACUUAUAUUCCCCUUCUUUUCCUUUUCAAUACUUAUAUUUUUUUCGUAAUAUAUAUAUAUAUAUAUUUUUAAAUACGGUGAAUCAUUCACCGUGUUUGAACACGAUGAAUGGUUCACCGUAUUUCGUACUUAUAUAUUUCUUAUAUUUAUUUGCAAUAUAUAUAUUUGUAUUUUACCCAAACACGGUGAAUCAUUCACCGUGUUUAGACACAGUGAAUGGUUCACCGUGUUCAACUUAACAAACUGACUGGGACCGGCCCAAGCUCUGCUGACGUGACGUCUGCGUGACAGGACUACGACCAUUUUUAUAAAUAUAAAUUUGCUGGGAUUAAUUUUAAAAUAAAUUUUUUUGUAAGAAGCUAAAUGCAAAAAAAACCCUUUGUUUUCUUAUUUGAGUUUUUCUUAACUCAGUGUCUUUAAUAGUUUAAUUGUUAAUUAGUCCAGAUUUAUUUAUUAAAGAAAUAAAAAAUAAAUUUGAUAUUUAGACUAAAAUUACUUAAAUCUAAAUAAUUAAACAAAAAGUGGAGAGGCUUUUGUCACAAUGGCCUAUAGGCAAGGGGGUCUCCAACAUUUUUACCCUUGUUUGAGGGACCAAAGGAGAGAUUUUUCUCACUUUUUUUUUUUUUGCGUUUUAAUUAAUUUCUCUGCGAAUAAUGGCCACAAUUUUUUGUUGCAAUUUAAUUCCGAGUCCGUGACUCUGAGGAUGAUCCCCACCGUUCAAUUAUUUGGGGCUGUUGAAUUGUGAAUGGAUUUAACUUUUUUUUUAUUACCAACUUAUUAAGUCAUUUAAAGAUUGUUAAAAAUUAAUAUCUUUUUUUGUUAAUAGACUAUUAAUUAUUCCUAUAUAAUUAACGUGUGAUAAUAAAAAUAUUUUUUAAUCUUUGAUGAUCUAAUAUUUCUAUUACUUAAAAUUAUAAUAAUUUUUUCACAUUACUGACACUUUUUACGUGUACGUCUAUCCAACUUGAAUAGAGUAAAAUAGCACAACAAUAAAAACGAUCUAUAACGACAUUUUUAAAUAUAGGUACAUGUCAAAAAAGUGCUGCUAGCUAAAAUUACUGACACUUUUAAAAAAUGUUGCUAUAUGUGGGGUCGCUAGGUAUAUAGUGACAGUUAAAAAAGUAUCGCUAUAACCUAAAAGAGUGAUGCUAUUUUACAAACACUUAUUUAAGCAUUUAGUAACCGUCGAAACUCUAUCUCGUUGGCUGCGGCGGCGGAGGACGACAGGAAAGACUCUUCGUCUACAAUUUCAGUGGAUUGAGUGAAGAGAGAAGAAAAGAUGGUAAUUGAUUUUUCUUUUUUUUUUUUCUUUUCUGUUUGUAAUCGGACCAAAUGAACUGGAUAUGGUGGAUUGAGUAGAAUAAUCUUUUAUUUUUGGUUCGAUUGGGUUUUAUAUUUAGGCAUUAGUAGAUGUUUUUUUAAGUUUUAAUAUAAAUGGGACACUUACUUAAAAGUGUCUCAAAUAUGUGUCCCUAUAAUCUAAUUCUGUUGUAGUAUAGUAAUAAUGUAAAUAUUUUUAAUAAAAAAUAUAAAAUAUUAACAAAAUAUUACAAGCAAAUGUACAGCAACAAACGUACAAUACUAUCAAAUUUCAAAGCUUCACUAACAUUAUU